UACGUAGGGCGCAAGCGUUAUCCGGAAUUAUUGGGCGUAAAGAGCUCGUAGGCGGUUUGUCGCGUCUGCUGUGAAAGACCGGGGCUCAACUCCGGUUCUGCAGUGGGUACGGGCAGACUAGAGUGCAGUAGGGGAGACUGGAAUUCCUGGUGUAGCGGUGAAAUGCGCAGAUAUCAGGAGGAACACCGAUGGCGAAGGCAGGUCUCUGGGCUGUAACUGACGCUGAGGAGCGAAAGCAUGGGGAGCGAACAGGAUUAGAAACCCCCGUAGUCC
rnacentral:rRNA from 1 species